GAUUCAUGUGCAUGCAUUUACA
rnacentral:miRNA from 1 species